rnacentral:lncRNA from 1 species
AUAUAUAUAUAAGAAUUGCACUUCCAAUUUUCAUCAGGACGCAAAAAUGUGCCAACUUGAAGGUUCUGUGUUGGAGGCCGUAUUGUAAAAUAAUACUGCUUACUUUAACUUCAUUGUCUUGGAUGGAGAGUUGUCUCAUUGACACUCGUACUGUACCACAUCUUCUUAUUUGUGUACAAGUGUUGUACUCAUGUUGUUUUUGUAUCAGGAUUAUAUAUUCUACUAACCUCUAGUUUUCAGUAAGUGUUUAUUUCUGCCAAUUUAAAGCACAAGAGUGCACACGCUAAAAUGUAUCACCUUCUUUACUAGUCAUUGAUAGUAUGUUGAUAGUCCUAAAUAUAUAGCUUUAUUACAACUGUCACAUAAAUUUAAUAUUUACCAAGAAAACUAAACAUUGACCAAUGAACCAUGCCAGACAGACAGACAUGUACAGCUAACAAUUCUUCCGUACAACUAAUAUAGUUGACCUAUUACUUAUAAAUUAAGAAAAACAGACCAAAACACAAAAACUUAACACUGAGCAAUGAACCGUGAAAAUGAGGUCAUGGUCAAAUAAUUAGGCCAAAAUCAGCCUUAACCAUACAUACAUGUACACCUUUAUAUACUCAAAGGAUUCUCUUUUUGAAAAUAAUAAAUACUAUUUUUACUUUUCAAUCAUUAGUCAAAUUGUAAAUGGACAAUUGUAGUGGAACUGGCUCAAGUACACCCCCCCCCCCCCAAAAAAAAGGGAAAAGAAAGUAAAAAUAGCAGAAAUAAGAAUACUUACCCUUUUCAUUUAUUUUGGCUGGGUCUGCAAACCUAUGUUGACUCUCAAGCGUCUCUGUAAUGUCUAAAUUUUUAUUUUGCGUCUUUACAUAAUAAAACUGACUGCCAAAGGAAGCAAGUUAUUUUGUUUGCUUUUUGCACUAAAUCAUGUUCAUGCAAGCAAGGG